rnacentral:misc_RNA from 1 species
GAUGAAGAACGUAGCGAAAUGCGAUAAGUAAUGUGAAUUGCAGAAUUCAGUGAAUCAUCGAAUCUUUGAACGCACAUUGCGCCCCUUGGUAUUCCGAGGGGCAUGCCUGUUCGAGCGUCAUUAUACCCCCUCAAGCUCAGCUUGGUGUUGGGGCCUGCUGCACUGGCAGCCCUUAAAAUCAGUGGCGGCGCCAUCUGGCUCUAAGCGUAGUAAUUCUUCUCGCUAUGGAGUCCUGGUGGAUGCUUGCCAUCAACCCCCAAUUUUUCUAUGGUUGACCUCGGAUCAGGUAGGGAUACCCGCUGAACUUAAGCAUAUCAAUAAGCGGAGGA